ACUAUAGAAAGUACCUUUAUAAGAAGUACAUGGCUGAAUUACCAAGAGCGGAUAUCUUCACUUAGCUGGGUUGCGUUGUGUGCACAAAGGCAGGAAUAUUAGGCGCAAACACUCAUA